rnacentral:tRNA from 1 species
AAUGAAGUGCCUGAGUAAAGGGCUAUUUUGAUAGAAUAGAUCAUGUAUUUAAAAUACCUUCAUUA